rnacentral:rRNA from 1 species
UACGGAGGAUCCGAGCGUUAUCCGGAUUUAUUGGGUUUAAAGGGAGCGUAGGUGGAUUGUUAAGUCAGUUGUGAAAGUUUGCGGCUCAACCGUAAAAUUGCAGUUGAAACUGGCAGUCUUGAGUACAGUAGAGGUGGGCGGAACUCGUGGUGUAGCGGUGAAAUGCAUAGAGAUCACACAGAACACCGAUUGCGAAGGCAGCUUACAAAUCUAUAUCGGACGCUGAGGCACGAAAGCGUGGGGAGCAAACAGG